UACCGGCGGCUCGAGUGGUGGCCACUAUUACUGGGCUUAAAGCGUUCGUAGCUGGUUUGUUAAGUCUCUGGGGAAAUCUUCCGGCUUAACCGGAAGGCGUCUCAGGGAUACUGGCAGACUAGGGACCGGGAGAGGUGAGGGGUACUCCAGGGGUAGGAGUGAAAUCCUGUAAUCCUUGGGGGACCACCUGUGGCGAAGGCGCCUCACCAGAACGGCUCCGACAGUGAGGGACGAAAGCUGGGGGAGCAAA
rnacentral:rRNA from 1 species